AAUAGCGGAGGAGGAAAAAUGUUUUAGCGAGACGAGAGCUCAUUUAGGCGAGACAUAGAUUUUGCGCUCAAUCCUAAAAUCCACGGAGUACGCUGCAACCCUCCCGGCGCGUGGCCGGCGAGGGCUUUGCAUCCGCGGCGAAGGGGAGCGAGAAGGAGGCCGCGCGCUUCUUCUCGUUCCUCCCUCACCGUCGGCGUCCGUCCCAUUCCAGGUGGAUCGAUCCGGUCCGGUUCGGUUCGGUGGAGACCGGUCUCCCCUCGCCCAUCCCGCGCUACCGUUUACUGGCCACCAGGCAGUGGCCGUCACCGUCGCCGUCGCCGUCGUCCAUUGCCAUUACCGGCUAGCCUGGUGAAUAAUCUUACACUGACAUCUGCUAUUUGGGUAGCUGCUUGGCUCUUAUGAGCACUGAUGCAUACAACCCACGAGCUAUGAUGCCCAGCUUGGUGAGAAUCUUCCUAUUUUGAGCUAUGCGGUGAUGAUCUAAAUGUUUCCUUUAAUAACCAAUAGGUGAGCUCGAAGAUUUCUCAUCUAACAUCUAGUUUAUAUUAUCUCCAUGAAAGUUCUGGCAAUUGUAAGUAUGGUCUGUGAAAAUGACCCCUCAAAGGCCAACCCACUCGUAUGGCUGGAAAGAUGAAAGAAUUUUUAUGUUGAUGUGUUCCUGUCAGUCAACAGUAAGAUUGCCAUAUUUAUAUGGCAUCAGGAUUCUUUAUCUCAGUGUUUACUGUAGUGUGCAA